rnacentral:rRNA from 1 species
UACGAAGGGUGCAAGCGUUAAUCGGAAUUACUGGGCGUAAAGCGCACGCAGGCGGUCUGUCAAGUCGGAUGUGAAAUCCCCGGGCCCAACCUGGGAACUGCAUUCGAAACUGGCAGGCUAGAGUCUUGUAGAGGGGGGUAGAAUUCCAGGUGUAGCGGUGAAAUGCGUAGAGAUCUGGAGGAAUACCGGUGGCGAAGGCGGCCCCCUGGACAAAGACUGACGCUCAGGUGCGAAAGCGUGGGGAGCAAACAGG